rnacentral:rRNA from 1 species
GAUGAACGCUGGCGGCGUGCCUAAUACAUGCAAGUCGAGCGAACAGACGAGGAGCUUGCUCCUCUGACGUUAGCGGCGGACGGGUGAGUAACACGUGGAUAACCUACCUAUAAGACUGGGAUAACUUCGGGAAACCGGAGCUAAUACCGGAUAACAUGUUGAACCGCAUGGUUCAACAGUGAAAGACGGUCUUGCUGUCACUUAUACAUGGAUCCGCGCCGCAUUAGCUAGUUGGUAAGGUAACGGCUUACCAAGGCAACGAUGCGUAGCCGACCUGAGAGGGUGAUCGGCCACACUGGAACUGAGACACGGUCCAGACUCCUACGGGAGGCAGCAGUAGGGAAUCUUCCGCAAUGGGCGAAAGCCUGACGGAGCAACGCCGCGUGAGCGAAGAAGGUCUUCGGAUCGUAAAACUCUGUUAUUAGGGAAGAACAAAUGUGUAAGUAACUAUGCACGUCUUGACGGUACCUAAUCAGAAAGCCACGGCUAACUACGUG